rnacentral:piRNA from 1 species
UAUUAUUUUGAAUGGGCGCAG